AUGGAUUGCUCGAUGACGAGCAGCGUGCUGUCGGCCAACUACAACACGGUGCUGUUCGAGUUCGGCGUCAUCCUCGUCACCAGCAAGAUCUUGUACGCCCUCCUCCGCAACGUCUACCAGCCCCGCGUCUUCUCCGACCUCCUCCUGGGCAUCAUCCUCGCGCAGUUCCGCGUCCUCUCCAUCACCAACGCCAUCAACCUGGUGUUCGGCAAGAUCGGCGGCUUCAUCUUCGCGCCCUACCUCUUCGCGCUCGGCGUCGAGAUGGAUCCCUUCUCGCUCCUCGACAGCCCCGCCGCCGACGCCGUCAUCGCCUACGCCGGCAUCGCCUCCACCUGCGUCCUCGUGACGCUCUGCCACGGCGCCAUCACCUCCACCUCUCGUACCCACACGGGCAUCGUCCACGAGCGCUCCCUCCGCGCCUUCCUCGGCCUCGCCGCCGCGCUCGCCAACACGGCCUCCCCUGUCCUCACCCGCCUCGCCACCGACCUCAAGAUCGCCAAGACCAACGUCGGCCGCCUCGCCGUCGGCGCCGGCAUCACCUCCGACAUGGUCACCACCCUGCUCAUCGCGCUCGGCAGCAUGGUCUGGCGUGACAGUGACGCCGACGCCGCCGCGCCCUUCGCCCAGCCCGCGCUCACGGCGUCCGUCCUCGCGGUCGUCGUCAUGUCCGCCUUCAUGUCCCGGGCCAUGGCCGACUGGGUGGACGGCCGCAACCCCGAGGGCCGGCGCAUGCGCGGCUUCGACCUUUCCCUCGUAGCGCUCGUGGCCGCCACGCUCUGCUGGUUCAUCUCCGUGCUCCGCCUCGACAUCAACAUGGCCGCCUUCCUCGUCGGCCUCGCCUUCCCCAGCGACGGCCGGGUGUCGCGGUUGCUCGUCAGCAAGAUCAACUUCGUGCUCUCCUCCUUCGUGCUGCCGCUCUACGUCGCCCACGUCUGCCUCUCGCUCCGGCAGACCACCGACGACAUCGAGGUCGCGGGCCUCAAGCCCGACGAGGGCCUCCGCGCCUACGUCAUGCAGCUGCCCUUCCCAUGGUGGAAGGUCUUCUUGGCCACCUCCAUGGGCACGCUCGGCAAGCUCGUCGGCUGCACCGGCGUCGGCCUGCUCCGGGGCCUCGGCUGGCUCGAGGCGCUCGCGCUCGGCAUGCUGCUCAACGUCAAGGGCUACUUCCACAUCUACUGUGCGCUAGCCGCCUUCGAGGCCGGCAUCAUCACCGACAAGUCCUUCAUGGCCAUCAUCUUCGUGGUGGCGCUCAACGUUGCCGUCACGCCCAUGGUGGGGAUGGGGAUCGCCUCCUGGGCACGCCGGAGCGUGCAGUGGCGCCUCAUGGGCCUCCAACACCACGACCCCUCGACGGAGCUGCGCCUCGUCGCCGGCCUCCGCGGCCCGCAGGAAGUGCCGACGCUCGCGUUCCUCAUGGAGUCGCUCCGGUGGGGCGCCGGCAACGGCGAGAUCGCGUGCUACGCCGUUGACAUGGUGCAGCUGACGGACCAGACGGCUUCUUCAAUCGUGAAAAGCGGCGGGUUGGACGGCGUGACGGUGGUGGACGAGGAGGUGUCGGAGAUGCGGAAGCUCAUCGGCGAGGCGCUAGACGCGUACCAGGCGGAGUGCGGUGGCGAGGGCGGCAAGGUGAAGGUGCGCCGGCUGCUGGCGCUGUCGUCGUUCCCGGACAUGCACAGUGACAUGUGCAUCUGCGCCGAGGACGCCAUGGCGGCGUUGAUCCUAGUGCCGUUCCACAAGACACAGUGCCUGGACGGCACCAUGGACGGCGGCCACUUCGGGUUCCGGCUCGUGAACCAAAAGGUGCUACAACUGGCGCCAUGCUCGGUGGGGAUCAUCGUGGACCGCGGCCUCGGCAAGCAGCAUCGUCCAGACAGCACGGCGCAGGCGUCUGUGGCGGUGCUCUUCAUCGGCGGCGCGGACGACCGGGAGGCGCUCACGCUGGCGUCCUUCAUGUGCAAGCAGCGGGCCUCGGUGCGGCUCACGGCGCUACGGGUGGUGCAGAACGCGACGGCGCAGGCGCGGGCCAAGGCGCGCACGAGCCUCUUCGAGUCCAAGAGCAAGCGGCACAUGCCUCUGGCGGCGACGACGACCGGGCAGGAGGAGCUGCAGGCGCGGGCGGACGACAAGUUCUUCGCCGAGUUCUACCGGAAGCACGUCGCCGGCAACAAGUCCGUCGGGUACAUGGAGAAGCACGUGGCGGACGGGGCGGAGCUCGUGGCGGUGCUGCGGGGGAUGCAGGGGGACUACCGGUUGUUCGUGGUGGGCCGAGGGAGGGACCGCAACUCGGUGCUCACCGAGGGGCUGGAGGAGUGGGCCGAGUGCCUGGAGCUCGGCCCCGUCGGCGACAUCCUCGCCUCCUCGGACUUCUCAACGACGGCGUCCGUGCUCAUCGUGCAGCAGUACGACGCCAAGAAGCACUACAAGGUAAUCGAUGAGGAGUUCAUGCCCUUGUAA
rnacentral:rRNA from 1 species